GGGUCAUUAGGUUGGUCGUGCCACCGGUACGUACUGGUCUCACUGAUUCCUCCUUCCUGAAGAACCGUAAUGCCAUUAAUUUGGUGUUGCGGGGAAACAGGACUGUUACUUUGAAAAAAUUAGAGUGUUUAAAGCAAGCUAACGCUUGAAUACAUUAGCAUGGAAGAAUGAAAUAGGACGAUCGAUCCUAUUUUGUUGGUUUCUAGGAUUGACGUA
rnacentral:rRNA from 1 species